rnacentral:lncRNA from 1 species
UUGAUACCCCUGUGCCACACCAUUGGCCAUGGAGCUAAUGACGGUGUUGUACACUGUGUGAGUCAUCACCUUGGACUAAUCAAUCAUAGCCUGAUAAACAGACUGUUGGAUCAUCUCGGACAUCCUCCCCGAGUCUUCGGCGAUGGUGAUCUGGUGAGGAAUUGGAAGAGCGCUCUUUUUGAUAGGCUCCCCACUUCUGGUACGACUGUAGGAUUGCAGGCAUGCCUUCUUGAAGUCUUCC